AUUCUCUCAACUUCAGCCCCGGAUUCCUCGUGAUCCUUCCUCUAUUUUAAAACGUUUUGAAAACCGAAAAUCUUCACCACACUACAUACUACCCUAGCCUCCAUCCUUUCACGAAAAUAUCUGAGAUUAGACAGUGAGAAUCAUCCCCAAACUCUUGCUGCCAUCGAUAAACUUUUGGUUUCAAAGUUUCAGUUUUUGUUCAAAUACGGCAUCUCCGUUCAUAGUUGAUAUUUCCUUCGUUACAGAACUAAAUUGAAUUCCGUUUGAUUCCUGAGAUUGUAGACUCAACCAUCUACAAGUCCGAGCUUAGUUUUCACACAACGCCGUUCGGAGGUCGAAAUCAAUUCCGUUUAUUUCCCGUGAAAGUAGACUCACGCAUCUACGUAUCUACACCUUCCGUUCGUCAAACGACCCGUCGACUGCUCGUGCUUCGGAGUCUACGCAGGGUUAGCUGUUUGCCAAGAUCACGUGGAUAAGCAAGCAGUGAGUUUGUAGUGCUAUUUACCGCUUUAUUAAGUACCGCAUCGUAUUUUAAUAUUAUAAAUGUUUGUGAACUGUUUUUACGGAUUAUGGAACUGGAUUGAAACGAGCUACUCGAUAGGCUUGUAUCGAGACUGUGUGCACCAGCAAGUACUCUGGGAAACGGCAGACUAAAGUCUUGCUUACGCUGGUAUAUUUAUAUGACGAGGAUUUGUUCCCGUCCACUCUGGGUUUAUCGGUAUGCUAUGUCAUACUUACGCUGGGAUCAUUUCAAUACUGCUUUCCAUAAUCAUAAUAUAUUAGUAUAAAAAUGUUUUGAUUUAACGGUUUUUAAACUUAAUAAAUGUAAAUAGUAUUGCGAACUCAUCUCAGUAUAUCUGACCCCGUUGAUUUCCCAAAUUUUCCAGGUUUAUGAUUUGAAAGCUGGUCCACUCCGAUUCUUUUGAUCCCUCGGAGGUUUUUAUGUUAUUUAAACUAGUUACUGUUUUCGAACUCUUAGACCGCAGUAGAACUAGUUUAUAUAUUACAUUCAAUAUUACACUUUGGGAUUGUCGAAUUUGAUCGACUAUUUAUUAUUGGCAUGUUUACUCUGGAACACUUUAUAUUAUAUUUAAAGCAUGCUGUGGAA